GUACACUCCUACGGGAGGCAGCAGUGGGGAAUUUUGGACAAUGGGCGAAAGCCUGAUCCAGCAAUGCCGCGUGAGUGAAGAAGGCCUUCGGGUUGUAAAGCUCUUUUGUCAGGGAAGAAACGGUGAAAGCUAAUAUCUUUUGCUAAUGACGGUACCUGAAGAAUAAGCACCGGCUAACUACGUGCCAGCAGCCGCGGUAAUACGUAGGGUGCAAGCGUUAAUCGGAAUUACUGGGCGUAAAGCGUGCGCAGGCGGUUUUGUAAGUCUGAUGUGAAAUCCCCGGGCUCAACCUGGGAAUUGCAUUGGAGACUGCAAGGCUAGAAUCUGGCAGAGGGGGGUAGAAUUCCACGUGUAGCAGUGAAAUGCGUAGAUAUGUGGAGGAACACCGAUGGCGAAGGCAGCCCCCUGGGUCAAGAUUGACGCUCAUGCACGAAAGCGUGGGGAGCAAACAGGAUUAGAUACCCGAGUAGUCCCAUGAU
rnacentral:rRNA from 1 species